UACGGAGGGUGCGAGCGUUGUCCGGAAUCACUGGGCGUAAAGGGCGCGUAGGCGGCCCGGUAAGUAGGGGGUGAAAUCUUGCGGCUCAACCGCAAGGCUGCCUUCUAAACUGCCAGGCUCGAGCACAGUAGAAGCAGGUGGAAUUCCCGGUGUAGCGGUGGAAUGCGUAGAGAUCGGGAAGAACAUCGGUGGCGAAGGCGGCCUGCUGGGCUGUUGCUGACGCUGAGGCGCGACAGCGUGGGGAGCAAACAGG
rnacentral:rRNA from 1 species